rnacentral:tRNA from 1 species
GCAGAAGUACUCAAGAGGCCGAAGAGGCGCCCCUGCUAAGGGUGUAGGUCGGGAAACCGGCGCGAGGGUUCAAAUCCCUCCUUCUGCG